rnacentral:rRNA from 1 species
UACGUAGGGUGCGAGCGUUAAUCGGAAUUACUGGGCGUAAAGCGUGCGCAGGCGGUUCGUUAAGUCAGAUGUGAAAGCCCCGGGCUCAACCUGGGAACUGCAUUUGAAACUGGCGGGCUUGAGUGCGGCAGAGGGGGGUGGAAUUCCGCGUGUAGCAGUGAAAUGCGUAGAGAUGCGGAGGAACACCGAUGGCGAAGGCAGCCCCCUGGGCCGACACUGACGCUCAGGCACGAAAGCAUGGGGAGCGAACGGG